rnacentral:rRNA from 1 species
AGUCAAGAGAAUAAGUGCAUCAGAUGGAUGCCUUGGCGAUGAUAGGCGAAGAAGGACGCGACAGUCUGCGAAAAGCCUCGGUGAGCUGGCAAUAAGCGGGGAGCCGGGGGUGUCCGAAUGGGGCAACCCAGCUAAUUGUGAGAUUAGUUACCUGUUUUAGGACAGGGGCGAACCUAGGGAAGUGAACCAUCUAAGUACCUAGAGGAAAAGAAAUCAAUAGAGAUUCUGCAAGUAGUGGCGAGCGAAAGUGGAGAAGCCAACAUGAGAUAGUUAAAUAAUUAGGAGAACGACUUGGGAAAGUCGACCGUAGUGGGUGAGAGUCCCGUAUCUGAAGAUUAUUUAAUAGUACUAGGCAUGUUAAUAAGUAGGGCGAGACACGAGAAAUCUUGUCUGAAUAUGGGGGGACCAUCCUCCAAGGCUAAAUAUUCAUCAUCGACCGAUAGUGGAUUAGUACCGUGAGGGAAAGGUGAAAAGAACCCCGGGAGGGGAGUGAAAAGAUUCUGAAAUCUGAUGCAUACAAACAGUGGGAGCGCAAAAGCGUGACUGCGUACCUUUUGUAUAAUGGGUCAACGACUUACAUUGAUUAGCAAGCUUAACCAGGUAGGGGAGGCGUAGGGAAACCGAGUCUGAAUAGGGCGAUAGUUGAUUGAUGUAGACCCGAAACCGAGUGAUUUAUCCAUGUCCAGGAUGAAGGUUAGGUAACACUGACUGGAGGUCCGAACCUACUAAUGUUGCAAAAUUAGAGGAUGAGGUGUGGAUAGGGGUGAAAGGCCAAACAAACUCGGAGAUAGCUGGUUCUCCCCGAAAACUAUUUAGGUAGUGCCUUAAGGGGAUACUCACGGGGGUAAAGCACUGUUAUGGCUAGGGGGUCAAUGCGACUUACCAACCCAUGGCAAACUCAGAAUACCGUGAAGUAGAUACUUAGGAGACAGACAUUGGGUGCUAACGUCCAGUGUCAAGAGGGAAACAACCCAGACCGCCAGCUAAGGUCCCAAAUAAUCAGUUAAGUGGAAAACGAAGUGAGGAGGCGAAGACAGCUAGGAUGUUGGCUUAGAAGCAGCCAUCAUUUAAAGAAAGCGUAAUAGCUCACUAGUCGAGUCGUCUUGCGCGCAAGAUGUAACGGGGCUAAAACUGAUAACCGAAGCUGCGGAUGCAAGUAAUUGCAUGGUAGGGGAGCGUUCUGUAGGCCAGAGAAGGUAGACUGAGAAGUUUACUGGAGGUAUCAGAAGAGCGAAUGUUGACAUGAGUAACGAUAAAGCGAGUGAAAAGCUCGUUCGCCGAAAGCCCAAGGAUUCCUACGUGACGUUAAUCGGCGUAGGGUAAGUCGGCCCCUAAGGUCAGGCAGAAAUGCGUAGCUGAUGGGAAACGGGUUAAUAUUCCCGUACUUUUUAAUAGUAAGCGAAGUGGGGACGAAGAAGGAUAGGUUAUCAAUCUGUUGGAAUAGAUUGUCCAAGCAUGUAGGUAAGGUACUUAGGCAAAUCCGGGUACUGAGUACUAAGGUGUGAAGGGGAGGCCCUAAGGGGUCGAAGUAGCUGAAUCCAAACUUCCAGGAAAAGCCACUAAGUAGUAGCUAUUAAAUAACCGUACCGCAAACCGACACAGGUGGGCAGGAAGAGAAUUCUAAGGCGCUUGAGAGAACUCAGGAGAAGGAACUCGGCAAAAUGACACCGUAACUUCGGGAGAAGGUGUGCCUAUUUAGGUGAAAGAUUUAGGCAAUCUGAGCGUAGGUAGGCCGCAGAGAAUAGGUGGCUGCGACUGUUUACUAAAAACACAGCACUCUGCAAACACGCAAGUGGACGUAUAGGGUGUGACGCCUGCCCGGUGCCGGAAGGUUAAUUGAUGGGGUUAGCGCAAGCGAAGCUCUUGAUCGAAGCCCCGGUAAACGGCGGCCGUAACUAUAACGGUCCUAAGGUAGCGAAAUUCCUUGUCGGGUAAGUUCCGACCUGCACGAAUGGCGUAACGAUGGCCACACUGUCUCCUCCUGAGACUCAGCGAAGUUGAAGUGGUUGUGAAGAUGCAAUCUACCCGCUGCUAGAC